rfam:Myotis brandtii contig235623, whole genome shotgun sequence.
GGUGGUUCUCGGGUGACACACCCCGGAAUCAGACUCCCUCCUCUCUGGUUCCAAGUGCAUCACCCAAGAACUUCA